UUGAACCUAUCAGAUUUAAACUAUCAUCUUGCAACGUUUACAGAUGAAAGAAUAACAGGAAAAGAUCUAACAGUAGGUCAAUACUUUGAGAAUGUUCAAAGUCAUCCUGUCAGAUGGUAUCUUCACACUUCCAUAAAGCCUGUGAGUUCUGAUUCUGAUGAAAACUUGCCUGAUUUGCCCAGCUUUUCAACGACAAACAAUAAACAGAAUAAGGGUCUUCCUGAGGAUUCAUCUUCAGUUCAAGGUGAUGGUACACAAUGUCAGGGUAUAGAUGGAACUUCAUCUUCUGUAAGUAGAAUCUGAAUAUGAUACUUUAAACAUUUGAGGUGAAGAUAGGACUGACAAAGUUAA